CCCAGAUCCACCCACUGCACGCCCUGCAGCUGUCCGUCGCACACCAGCACGGCGCCAUUGUCCUUCUGCGCAGGCAUCACCCAAAAUCAAUCGCACGAGUUCCACUCAAAGUCGAACAGCAGCAAAAGCGACGUUUGGGCUCACCAAGCAGCCAGCGGCGUCAGCCCCGCCAGCACACACCAUCCCCAAGCUCCAGAACAGGCGGCGGACGUCACCAGCCACCAGCGGUUUACGAGGGCGCCGCUGCAUCUCUUCCAGGGGGUCUGAAGCCACACCUGCCAGGGUCUGGAGUGAGGCUGGCACAGGUUGUCGUCCAUCAGCGGCGACGCACCUGUUGACGCUCAUCAUUAAGCCACCAUCCCAAUUGAGCGUGCGCGGCAGCAAUCGUUUACCUGCGAGGCCCAAAACGAGAAGCAGAAGAAGACGCUCCAUGUUGUCGAUGGCGGCAGACGGCGGCAGCCCUCUCCUUAUAUAAGGAGCGAAGGAGGGUCAUGAUUUGCCAUCACUUCCCGUCCGCAUGUGACCUUUGUAAUAACGUUCACACACGAAGGGUCACACCUUGUUUCCAGUAAUCAUCUCGUCGUUCCUCAAGAACAAUAAAAUGUUCUUGCAGCAGCAGUCGGGUGACGAUAGCGUCCCUUUCUACCUCAUCCAUAUAACCCGGAGGGAUGUGCACACUUUUGUGUUCAUGUGCAGCAUGUGAUCGACCAGCUCAUCCAUCAAUGAGGCUAAAAAAAGUUUCAGCGUGUUUGUAAAAUUGUUUUAUUUUAAUAAUGACAUGUACAGGUUAAAACUAAAACUACAAAAUGUU